GUUAUGCUUGUCUUUUCCACUAUUUUCCUUUAUCUCUUUGAGAAUACUGAUUAUACUUGCCUUACAUUUAAUUUUUCGUUUAUAUUGUUUUUGGCCCGCCAACUCUUCUUUAUGCGAUGUAAGGUAGAGGGAUUUACCUCAAAUUGGAGAUUUUCUAACUUUACAAGCUUUGUUGAACUACUCUUUGUGGGUCUCUCUCCACAGUCAGCAACGCUACCCUUAGGGAUCCUCCAUUCCUCCUCUGUGGUCCUAGCAGCAAUGGUGGGGAAGAGCCAGCCAAAAUGCCUGAGAAUCUCCUGUUAUUCACCUUCUACAACAGCAAGCCGUAUUUCAUCAUCUCCUCUGAAGACUAUAUCCUCUAUGAAGUUCUUGUUAGCAUACCCUUUAUUGGCUGGCUCCUUGUGGAUCUUAAAAAACACAGUAAAAAUAGUCCUAUCAUGGCUCAGCAGGUAAAGAAACUGCCUGCAAUGCAGGAGACACCGGAGACAUGGAUUUGAUCCCUGGGUUGGAAGAUUCCCUGGAGAAGGAAAUGGCAACCCACUCUAAUAUUCUUGCCUGAAAAAUCCCAUGAAAACAGGAGACUGGUGGGCUAUAGUCCAAAGGGUCACAAAGAGCUAGACAUGACUGAAUGACUAAGCACAGCACAGUACAGAGAGUGUUUAGAAGAAAAUAAGCAAAUCACUUCCUUAUUUCACUGCAACACUUAGCAGUUUGUGUUGAACCACAUGUGCUUUGAUAGAAAUUUGCUGACCUGUGCAUUAGGCAGACAGACCAAAAGACAAUCCAUUUGUACCUAGAAAUUAAGUUGAUUAUGCAUCAAAAUCAAAAGGGUAAAAUUCAGAAUAUAUCACUGUGCAAGACAACUAGAUACCAAGCAGCCCACCCUGAUCAAAAUUGAAUUACAAUUUGAAAAAUUAUCAAAUGGAAUUCAUUUUAGUAAACAACUGAACUUCAAAAUCAUCUACGCCAUGGCCAUAACCCUUGGGUAAGCCAGUAUCCCCAGUAGAUGGGCUAAUAUUAUUUUCAAUUAGAUUAUCUCACAAUUUUGAAUCACUUUAUUUGAUGACUUAAUUGCAUUGUUUAAAAGGCUUCACCACAGCAGACAUACAGAAAUCUAUUUUGAGGCAGAACACAAGUUUCUAGGUCUGCAAGAAACAUUAAAAGUUAUGGAUUAAUUUUAAGCAAAUAAACUCCCAUCUACUAGAUAAUAAGCUAUAUAU
ensembl:lncRNA